rnacentral:rRNA from 1 species
GUGCCAGCAGCCGCGGUAAUACGUAGGCAGCAAGCGUUGUUCGGAAUUACUGGGCGUAAAGAGUGUGUAGGCGGUGCUCUAAGUCUGUUGUGAAAUCUCCCGGCUUAACCGGGAGGGUGCGGCGGAAACUGGAGUGCUUGAGGGUGGGAGAGGUAAGCGGAAUUCCUGGUGUAGCGGUGAAAUGCGUAGAUAUCAGGAGGAACACCUGUGGUGUAGACAGCUUACUGGACCACUUCUGACGCUGAGACACGAAAGCGUGGGUAGCAAACAGGAUUAGAUACCCUGGUAGUCC